AUUCAAUUUUAAUAGAGAAAAUGCUAAAAAUAAUCUUUAUACUUUUUAUCGGUGUUAGUAAAAAUAAGUUUUGCUUACACAAACAACGUUACAAUACAGGGUGAUACAUCUGAUGUAAGACACUAAUUUUCUCAGAAAAUAUAAAUAUUUUGAUAAUAAUUUACUUGUAUAACUUGUAGGUAUACGGGAUUCCCGUGUGGUUCCCGGGCAAGAAUAGGACCACGGAAUGUUCCUCCUGUCGUAAGAGGCGACAAAAAGAACCUGAUGCAGGGUAGCAGCUGCAUCAGUAUCAAGCUAAGGCGCAAAAUGAAUGACAUUGGAACGGCUUAGUCUUGAAGAAAUGCAAGCAGAGCUGAGUACAGCGGUAUGGUUGCAUCACUGCGAUGUGGAAGGAGACGGAAGACCCACCACAUUAUUAAUUAUUCCUAGUAAAAAUCAUCAUGGAUGCACAAUCUGAGGCAAUGGUUUGAUUAAAACAGCAACCAAAUAUUCAAAGCGGCCCAAGAGACAAUCCAGAUUAAUAUGAUGAUUUCCAACCUCCGUUAGGAGAGGAAUUCCAAGAAGAAGAGAACUUGUAGGUACAUAUUUUAAUAUAUUUUUCAACCCGCUGAAAAUGUUUACCUUCAUCCCUUCUUAUACGUAAAACAAUUAUGGAUCUCGUUUUUAUUAAAUGGGAACAUAAGUUUUUAACUACAUUGAUAAGUAGGCAAAAAGUUUGAAAAAUGUUAAAGUUUGAAUUUUUAGUUUUUAUCAAUCCGUUCGUUUGCUAUGACUUUGCAAAGAUAUUAGAUUUCAAAAGCAAGUGGUCAAUAUUAUUUUUUUUAAUGGGAAAUUGUCGUGCUACUGUUGUAAAAACUUAUCGGAUAUUGAUCUUAUAUUCAAAUCUUUACAAUGUCUUAGUAAACGAACAGAUUGAUAAAAAAUCAAACGCUAACGUUUUUUUUCAACAUUUUUUGUCUACGCAUUUAUGGAAUUAAAAACGUACAUCACAAUUUGAAUAAACAUAGUCCAUACAACUUUUUCACGCAUGAGGGAUGAAGGCUAAAAUUGUUAAGCCUAUUGAAAUAUAUUGUAAAAUGUGUCGCCUACAAGUACAAUUAUUUUCAAAAUAUUCAUAUUUUCUGAGAUAAUGAGUGUCUUACAUCGGAUGAAACUUGAAUUUGGUAAAACGAUACAGUAAACUAAUUUUAGAUAGACUCUCAGCCAAAAAGCUGUGUGCUCGUGUCACAAAUAAAUUAUCGUUGUUGUGGAUCACUUAAUAUUCUGUGACUAGGGGUAGAAGUUGCCAAAUUUUUUAGCAAUAUCACUUAGUAGUUAGUUAAAUAUGUUUAAAAUAUUAUGUGCUGCAAUGAAACGUUGAUAUUCAGAUAUUAAAAACGGUAGUUGUUUUUUUUUGGAGUUAUGCCGUUCGCUGAAUAGCCUAUAUGAUGAUGAUGAUGAUGAUGAUGUGUGUGUGUGAAAUGGCAGUAUAACGUGUAAUUAUAUCCUAGUGCAGUCGUGUCCGAAAGGUCAGCACGCGAGCAUGGAUGGACAAGGCGAAAUGGAAUUCAUAAAAUACCAUGACACUCAGUGGAUUAAUCAGAUUCAAUCGUAUGACAGAUUGGUGAGGGAAGAAGAAGAAAAACUGGACGUCGGUCACGGUGUGAAACUCGGAUGGAUCAAAGGCGUGUUGAUCCCUUGUCUGUUGAGUAUAUGGGGCGUCAUGCUCUUUCUUAGACUUCCUUGGAUCGUAGGACAAGCUGGGAUACGUGACUCGAUAAUAAUCAUUUUGAUAUCGACGGUCAUAAUUCUCAUUACUACCACCUCGCUGUCUGCAAUCAGCACCAAUGGCCGCAUUAAAGGAGGGGGCCUUUACUUUAUCAUUUCCAGAUCGAUAGGACCCGAAUUUGGAUCUUCGAUCGGUGUUCUUUUGGCACUAGCCAACACCAUUUCGGCGGCAAUGAACACUAUUGGAUUUUGCAUGUCGUUGAAACUGCUACUCCAGUGGUACGAUUUGCAUAAUAUAAUGGACACUGAACACGGAUACAAAAUCAUCGGCGUCGUGUUAAUCAUACUCAUGGGCAUUACUUGUGCAAUCGGAAUGGACCGUGAAGCCGAAGUGCAAAACGUACUUCUUGUUGUUAUCGUGAUGGGCAUUUUCGACGUUAUCGUAGGUUCAGCUAUGGGACCGUCCGACGACCAAGCUAGAGCAUCCGGUUUCACCGGGCUUAAAAAUGCCACGUUUAUAGAAAAUUGGCAUCCCGAUUACAGACACCAGCAAUCGUUUUUCUCCGUGUUCGCCGUUUUCUUUCCCUCGGUCACUGGCAUUCAAGCUGGCGCCAACAUUUCAGGCGAUCUCAAGGAUCCCAGUGCAUCCAUACCGAAAGGCACUCUUCUGUCGAUCGCUAUUACCAUAACAUCUUACAUUGCACUGGUGUUUGUAUCCGGAGGAGCUCAAUUAAGAGAGGCGAGUGGCAACUUCACUGAGCUCAUAGACGGAUCUUAUUCAAACUGCUCGUAUAGAACAUGCCAAUACGGGCUGUACCACGACGACCAAUUGAUGCAGUCGAUAUCCGUGUGGCCGAUUUUCAUAUACUUUGGCACUUUCGGAGCGACCAUCAGCACUGCCCUGACCGCGUUGAUAGCCGUUCCUAAGAUUUUGCAAAGAAUGGGACAAGACCAAGUUUAUCCUCUACUGAAAUACCUGGCCAAAGGCUACGGACCGGCCAACGAACCGUACCGCGCUCAUCUGUUCGCCAUAGCGGUGUCAUCUACAUUCUUUGUAAUAGGCGAACUCAACGCGAUCGCUUCGUUUAUUUCGACCAUAUAUUUAUGCAGUUAUGCGAUGCUAAAUCUCUGUACGUUCCACGUGGCACACUAUAACCAUUUGGGGUGGAGACCUACUUACAAGUUCUUUAACAAAUGGUUGAGUCUUGCCGGAUCCGUAAUUUGCUUCGGAGUAAUGAUAUCCAUCGACAUGGCAAUGUCGGUAACGGUUUUUUGUGCUAUUUGGGCUUUGCACACAAUGGCCGCCCGGAGAAAAAACGAUAUAAAUUGGGGCUCGUCGAUGAAGAUACAGCGAUACAAAACCAUAUUGAAGAACGUGCAAAACGUAUACGCCAUAAAGUACCACGUGAAAAACUACUUGCCCAACGUGAUAGUACUUUCCGGGAUGCCCGACUCGAGGAAAGCCCUGGUGUCUUUGGGUCAUCUGAUUACAAAAGAAACCGGUUUAUUAAUAUGCGUCAACGUUGAAAAGGACAAGCUGACCCACGACCAAAGACAGUCACUGCUAGACGAAGGGAUUGGUUGGCUGAAAAAGUCCAGAUUGAGUUGUCUGUUCAACGUGAUGGACAGUGUAAGUGUAGAUGCAGCCGUUCGCAUGAUCUACAUGUGCGGUCACGGUCAACUUAGGCCCAACAUCAUAUUGGUCGGCUACAAAUCGGAUUGGUCUAGCUGCUCUGAAGAAGAACUCCGUUCCUAUUUGAACAUAUUCAACGAGGCGAGCAUGAACGAAAUGUCCACUCUGAUCAUCCGCUCUGAUGGUCCACUGUCAAAUGAAUUUUUCCACUGCAAAACCCAACGUUUGCUUGAGAUUUUACCAUCUAAGAUAAAACCUGCAGAGUCUUCUGUGAACGUUUCCAUUAAUCGGUUAUUGUUUACCCGCAAACGAACGGGCGGCACUGUUGACGUCUGGUGGCUGUUCGACGACAAAGGUUUGUCGUUGACCAUUGCAUAUGUGUUAAUGUCAAGCACUUUUUGGAAAAACUGUACGUUUCGGAUUUUUGGAGUGGCGAGUGCAAUGGACCGAUUGUCUACAGAAAAGAACAAAAACCCAUCCGAACGAACUCAAGAUGAGUAAAGACAACGCGAGCAAGACGUUAUUUUUAAGAGAUUUAAUCGAAGUACAUUCAACGGGGUCGUCGUUGAUAAUUUUGUCAAUACCGAAACCAAUUAGAGAGUUUAAUAAAAUUCACAUGUGUUGGAUCGAAACCAUUACCCGAGAACUGCCCCCUUGCAUUCUUAUCCACGGCAAUAAGAUUCCUACGGUUACAG